CUGGAACUUGCAAACCAUGAGAUCAUGACCUGAGCCAAAAUCAGAGGCUUAACUGACUGAGCCGCCCAGGAGCCCCAGUGAUUUCUAAUAAAGUUAAACUCCAUGACCCAGCAACUGCAGUACUUCUAUGAAUGUACAAGUACACAGAAAGUCCGGCACAGACUAUGCAUCAAAACACUAAGAAUAUUCAUCAAUAGCACUAAUUAAUACUAAAUAACACCAAAGUUACUCCAAUAAUACCCAAAUCAAGAAGUGAUGUACAUAACGGUAUGGACAUAUUUAAUGAACAUAAUGUUGCAUGAAAAAAAGACAAAUGCAAAAAAAUACGCAUUUAUUUGUUUGAAUUUCAAGAACAAGCAAUUGUAACCUAUAGGAAAUAGACCUCCAAGUGAUAAUUAACUAAGUGAGAUAGGUCUGAAUUGCCUGGAAAGGGGAUCAGUGUACACUUUUGGGAUCAUGGCAAUUUUUUUGUAACUUGAUUUGGGUGAUGAUUUCAUUUGCCCACAUUCAACAAAGUGUACACUAAAGAUUUGUGAUUUUUACUCUAUGUGAACUAUAGUUCAGUAAUUUACUGUUCCCAUAAAAACUAGUAAUGAAUGGCAGAUGAAGACAAGCUGAGGUAGACCAGGACCGCUUGUUGGCAUUUUAUUAAACUCGAAAACUCGUUCUCGUUUAGUGUAAGCCCCUCCCCACCCCCUCCGCCACACACACACAGAUAUUUGAAAUAUCUUUACCAGAAAAAAAGGCUAUGACCGCACUAUUUUGUUAGUGGAGGCUACAGGCAAGCCUCCCUGAAGGCGGUAUUUCACCUUUGGGAUGUUUUCUGCUGGGUAGUGAGACGAGGAAACUCCCAAAGUUUCGCUUUGGCUGGCGGCCUGCCAGUUCGUGCACCGUGGCAUUUACUCCUCCUUUGGCCGCGUGGCUCUGUGGGGUCAGCCGUGUACUCUGCACUCAAGUAUGCUGUGCUCCAACUGCUGCUAACUCUGGCACUGGGAUGACGAGCAACCCAAAAAGAUGGGUCAGACACUACUCUGCCUUUACCGGGUUUGAACUUGCAGCCACAAACGCCCUAACCACUGCACAGUGACCAUGCACCACAGGCCUGCGGGCCGCCACUGCCAGAUACCUACAGUUUGUUCUUACGUAAACAUAUUCACACUUCCUUUGCCCUUUUAUUCUUGGACACCUACAGAUGUUCGUGCUGUCCUCUUUCACGCUCUUCUCCGUUUCUCCCUCCCCAUUCUGUUCCACAAAACAAUUUUCCCAUCUCCCGUCCGGGCAGGUCUCUCCGUCUCGUCCAUACUUCUCCUUUCCACUUUUCGUGUUUUCCCCUGAUCUCCUUCCCACCUCCUCCUGGUCCCGCCCCCCAUAACCUUCCCUUUAAUUUUCUGGUUCCCGCCACAGCAACAAACAGUCCGGCUGGCUGCCCUUGUUUCUGCCUUCGGAAUCGCCCAAGGCAAGGAUUUCAAACGCGAGGAACUAGCCGCGUCGACUCGUCCUCCCGGGUUUUCGAGGCUUUGGAACCUGCACAGUGGUCCUGCCGAGGAGGAUUAACAUUGAAGAAAAGGAAGCUGUUUCCACCUUAUUUCGAACCACGGAAUUUUCGCGUGUGAGGCGAACUUGAUAACCACUUCACUAUGGAAACCAGUCAGCCUGGCUUCCUGCUCUAACCCUGAAAACCAUCGGUCCUGCCACUGCUGUUAAGCCCGAGUCUGUUUGGUUGAAAGGCGGGACGAAGUCAAGUCCCAGGUUCUCUUUAAAGGAAAACGCUUGAAGUGAGACCUUGGGUUUCUGAGGUGAAUAGAGGGGAGCCGCUGGCCUGGCUUCUCAUCCCAGCUCUCCUCUCCCAGCCUGGCCAUUACAAGGACCCGGACUCCUGACCUCCCGUAUUUUAGGGGCUCAGUGCACAGCCACUUCGGCACGCGUCCCUGGGUGCACACCAGACUUUGGGGGAUGAAAAGGUAAAUCCACCGAUCCGAUCCCGGGGAAUCCACCCACACAGGAUCCCUGCUUUGGCCCCUGCAGAUGAAAACCCUGAAAGUCAAGGUGACAUUUCCCAGGCGGACAGAGCACAAGCGGAGGCGAUUCCCAGCGGCGCGGGGCUGAAUGCAGCCGCACAAGGCUCCCAGCCCUUGCCCUGCUGCUCACCACCUCUUCCAGCCUCAGCGACCCCUUGGGCCCUGACCACAAGGUGACUGGCCUGUGCCACACUCUAGUCCAGCUGGAGCCGUGUGUGUUGCAGAGCCAAGGCCGUGCUCUCUUUCUGAGCCUCGUUUGCUGAUGGGUAAGGUGCGGACUCGGCUCUCAGCGGGAGGGGAGGGGCGGAGUCCCUCUACUUGGCGACUUCCGAAGUAGCUCCAGAGCUGUCCCGAUGACGGCACGGGGACGGGCUCCUUUGGUGUCCCCAUGGGCUCAUUAGGUGGAGCCUGAAACUCCUCACCUACGCGUCUUUGGCUCGGGUCCCAGGUGCAGCUGGUUUGUGUUCUUUGCGUUCUGUCAGGCAAAUAAAUACACCUGUUGCGCAAGUGUGCCGCCCAGGGAAGAACGUGCUGCUUUUCAGAGCCACGGUCGCUGUGAGCCCGUGGGGCAGACGGAGGCGCCAGAUGAGCAGGUCAGCGGAUGCGUGGAAGUAGAGCAGGCAGCAGAGGGGCGCAUCACCUCUAAUCCUUGACGAAGCUGAUUUGCAGCUGGUUCGCCCUCAGGGAAAGCCUCAAUCUACAGCUAGUUUGCUCACACUGCUGUGCUGCAGACGUCCGGGGCUCCUACCUGCGACCUUGGGCGAAUGCUGUUCUGCUACAAAUACUCCAUCAUCACUGAAAGGUGAAAUCUACAAUUUCCAGAUAAAUCACAUUUUCUUCCUCCUGUUUUUCUUAAAAUAAGGUGGGGGGGGGUCACUGGUGCAUAGCUGAAGU